CAAGAGCGUAUAUUAAAGUUGCUGCGGUUAAAAAGCUCGUAGUUGGAUUUCAGUCUAGGAAGGUUAACUCGCCGAAAGGUUGUACGUUGAUUUUCCUCAGACUUCGUCAGAAGCUCGUGCUGCACUUAACUGUGUGGUACGAUGUUCUGACCUCUUACCUUGAGGAAAGUAAAGUGUUUCAGGCAGGCGACCCAGCUUGGAUACAUUAGCAUGGAAUAAUGAAAUGGAUCUCGGUUCGAUUUCGUUGGUUCUAGAGCUGAGGUGAUGAUCAAUAGGAACAGGCGAAGGUAUUCGUACUUGAGAGUGAGGAGUGAAAUCCGAUGAUCUCUUGAAGACGACCCGAGGCGAACGCAUUGUCAAGGAUGUUUUCAUUGA
rnacentral:rRNA from 1 species